AGGUCGACGGGGUCGACGGCGCGCGUCACCACGAGGUAGUCGCGCAGAGCGAUGCCGUGCCUGGCCUC
rnacentral:sRNA from 1 species